rnacentral:rRNA from 1 species
GACGAACGCUGGCGGCGUGCUUAACACAUGCAAGUCGAACGGAAAGGCCCUGCUUUUGUGGGGUGCUCGAGUGGCGAACGGGUGAGUAACCCGUGAGUAACCUACCCUUGACUUUGGGAUAACUUCAGGAAACUGGGGCUAAUACCGGAUAGGAGCUCCUGCUGCAUGGUUGGGGUUGGAAAGUUUCGGCGGUUGGGGAUGGACUCCCGGCUUAUCAGCUUGUUGGUGGGGUAGUGGCUUACCAAGGCUUUGACGGGUAGCCGGCCUGAGAGGGUGACCGGACAGAUUGGGACUGAGAUACGGCCCAGACCCCUACGGGAGGCAGCAGUGGGGAAUAUUGCACAAUGGGCGGAAGCCUGAUGCAGCAACGCCGCGUGCGGGAUGACGGCCUUCGGGUUGUAAACCGCUUUCGCCUGUGACGAAGCGUGAGUGACGGUAAUGGGUAAAGAAGCACCGGCUAACUACGUG